GACGAACGCUGGCGGCGUGCUUAACACAUGCAAGUCGAACGGAAAGGCCCUGCUUUUGUGGGGUGCUCGAGUGGCGAACGGGUGAGUAACACGUGAGUAACCUGCCCUUGACUUUGGGAUAACUUCAGGAAACUGGGGCUAAUACCGGAUAGGAGCUCCUGCUGCAUGGUGGGGGUUGGAAAGUUUCGGCGGUUGGGGAUGGACUCGCGGCUUAUCAGCUUGCUGGUGGGGUAGUGGCUUACCAAGGCUUUGACGGGUAGCCGGCCUGAGAGGGUGACCGGCCACAUUGGGACUGAGAUAUGGCCCAGACUCCUACGGGAGGCAGCAGUGGGGAAUAUUGCACAAUGGGCGGAAGCCUGAUGCAGCAACGCCGCGUGCGGGAUGACGGCCUUCGGGUUGUAAACCGCUUUCGCCUGUGACGAAGCGUGAGUGACGGUAAUGGGUAAAGAAGCACCGGCUAACUACGUG
rnacentral:rRNA from 1 species